rnacentral:rRNA from 1 species
GGCCUUUUGAUUAUAAUUUAAGGUCUGACCUGCCCACUGAAAAUUUUUAAAUGGCCGUGGUAUUUUGACCAUGCUAAGGUAGCAUAAUCAAUAGUUUUUUAAUUAAAAACUGGAAUGAAGGGUUGGAUAAGAAAAUGACUGUCUCUAUUAAAUUUUAUUAGAAUUUUAUUUUUAAGUUAAAAAGCUUAAUUGUAUUUAAAAGACGAGAAGACCCUAUAGAAUUUUAUUAUCGUGUAAAAAUUAUAUUUUAGUAUUUAUUUAUUUAUUUUAUUAGUUAAUUUAAUUGGGGUGAUUGAAAAAUUUAAUUAACUUUUUUUUAUUUAAAACAUUUAUUUAUGAAAAAAUGAYCCAUUAUUUUUGAUUAUAAGAUAAAAUUACCUUAGGGAUAACAGCGUAAUUUUUUUUUAAAGUUCAUAUUAAAAGAAAAGAUUGCGACCUCGAUGUUGGAUUAAAAUUAAUUUUUGGUGUAGAAGCUAAAACAUUGGGUCUGUUCGACCUUUAAAAUUUUAC